ensembl:lncRNA
GUUCUAAUUUUAUUCUGUUACAUGUAACUGUCCAGUUUUGCAAGCACCACUUAUUAAGUAUUUUUUUCUCCAUUGUAUAUUCUUGCCUCUUUUGUCAUAGAUUAAUUGACAGUAGUUGUGUGGGUUUAUUUCUGGGCUUUCUUUCCUGAUCCAUUGAUCUAUAAAUCUGUCUGUAUUCCAGUGCCGUACUGUUUUGAUGACUAUAGCUUUGUAGUAUAGUCUAAAGUCAGCUCCAUUUUUCUUUCUAAAGAUUGCUUUGGCUAUUUGGGGUCUUUUAUAUGCUAUACAAAUUUUAAACAUUUUUGUUCUAGUUCUGUGAAAAAUUCCAAUGGUAGUUUGAUAGGGAUUGUACUGAAUCUGUAGAUUGUCUUGGGUAGUAUAGUCCUUUUGAGUGUUGAUUCUUCCAAUCCAAGAGCUCGAUAGUUCUUUCCAUCUGUUCCUCUCCUCUUAAAUUUUCUUUAUCAGUGUCUUAAACUUUUUCAAGUGUGGUACUUUUGCUUCUAUAAGUAGGUUUAUUCUUAGGUAUUUUAUUCUCUCUGAUGCAAUGGUGAAUGGGAUUGUUUCCUUAAUUUCUCUUUCUGAUAUUUCAUUGUUAGUGUAUAGCAAUACAAGGCAUUUCUCUAAUUUUGUUUCCUGGGACUUCACCAAAUUCAUUGAUGAGCUCCAAUAGUGUUCUGGUAGUGACUGUAAGAUUUUCUCUUAUAGAAUUAUGUCAUCAGCAAACACUGACAGUUUAACAUCUUUUCCAAUUUGGAUUGCUCCCUUAAGCUAUCUUUAUUCUUUCUCAUUCUUCUUUCCUUUUGAUCCUCUAAUUGGGUGAAUUCCACUGCCCUGUCUUUGAGUUUACUGAGACUUUCUUCCACUUGAAAUAUUUAGCUAUUGAAGCUGUCUAUUAAAAUUCUUGGUUCAGUUGUAUCUUCAGCUCUGUGAUUUCUGUUUAGUACUUGCUUAUAUAUUCUAACUCUGCUGAUAUUCUCAUUUUGUUCAUGCAUUGUUGCUUUAUCUCAGUGAGCAUCUUUAUGACUGUUACCUUUAACUCCUUAUCUCUUCAUUUCAUUGAGGUCUGUUUCUGGAGUUUUAUCUUGUUCUUUUAUUUGGAGCAUAUUUAUUUCUACGUUUUCCUUGACUCUGUGCUUCAUUCUGCACAUUAGAUAGGCACCUCUUCUAGUCUUGAUGGAGUAUGCUUGUUUAGGAAAUGGAGCUGUCAAUCAACUCAGCCCAAGCUUUUGGUUGUUUCUCAAACCUUUGUAAAUGUCCAAGCCUCAGUCUUUGUUCUUAGUGUUUCUGAAACUUGGCUUCUGUGCACUGGUGCUGAAUCGAAAUGCAGAGAGUUUUGGGUAAAGGAGAAAAAAAAUAGCUUUUGUUGCUUUGCCAGGUAAAGGAGGCCACAGCAGGCUAAUGCCCUCAUGACUGUGCCCUCCUUUGGGGAAGUAUUGCAGGGAGUUUUAUAGUCUAAAAGGAGAAAAGCAGGGUUUCACAUAAGAAUCAAGGUUGGGUCAAACACUCCUUCCUCUUUCUUUCAGGGAAUCUUAGUCAUCAUCAAAGCUGGUUUUGGCAUGAUCCUGAUAGUGGUCUUCUGGGUUAUGGCAUCUUGACUUUCCCUAGAAUAACAAUCCUUGAGAAAAGGCAUAAUCAGAGAUUAGAACAAACUAGGAAUCUUCCUGAAAAACAUGGUAUGCUUAUAAUCUUUAACUCAUAGGCAUAUCUCAUUCAGGGUUCCUGGUCUUUAACUUGUAGUGAUUGUAUUUAGGGUACAAUCAAAUGAAGGAGAAACACAGUAAGGACUCCAAGCUAUUCAAUUUUAAAAUCUUCAUUUCUAAAAUAAGCAUAAGGAAUAUAACUUUUCUCUUAGGUGUGUAAUAUAUCUACAUCAUUAUGUGUAUCCCUUGAGGGGGAAUCAGGAUCCUGCCCCAAGACUGUCCUAUUGCUGACUGUUCCUCCCUUGUCUCUGCAUUUCCUCCCUUCCCUAAUCAGCAGGUGUCUGAACCUGCCCUUGGAACUUAGGAAAGACCAUGGAGGCUGAAUGAGGCCCAUUUACUAAAAAUAAGAAAUGGGGACACAGAAAGGCUUUUGUGCCCAGGAACCCCACAGGGCCAUGCUCACUUUCAUUAAUGGCUCCCAGUAGUUGAGGGUUUACCUGGGCCUGUGCAUGUCUAAAAGGGGAGGAUUACAGUGUUGACUUAAAAAAAAACACAACUUGAAAGUUGAGAGUUAAGUUUUAUAUGGGCCAAAAUUAGGACUUAAGCUCAGGAGAUAGAAUCCCAGGUAGCCCUGAAAACCUGCUCAGGCAAGGGGGGAACUGGGAUAUAUAGGAGUUUUUGUGACAAAGGACAGGUGGCAGGAACAAAAGAGGUCUGGGCUCACUGAAAUCAUUUUUCUGAUAUGCACCUCAGCUAUUAGUGACAGUAUCCUGAGGUUUCACAGCCCUCAGGGCUCAAUGACUCACCCUUGGAGGUGGCUGCUUUUGCAGAUGGUUGUGACGCCUUUUUUUUUUUUUUUUUUGGUCAACUUAACUGUAGCAGGUAUUAGCUCUGAAAUACCUCCCGAAAUAAAAAAGGGGGAAUAUCAGGAUAUAUGUGAUAAAGGUGAAGGGGGAGGUGCAUGCAGCCUCACACACAUUUCACAGAAAUUUGAUGCUGGUCUCUUGAAAGUUACUGAUGGUGACAGACAUCAGUUGUCAUGAAGGAUUUUAGUGUUUUUUCUGGGUACAAGGAGAUGCAAGAAUUGGGCUCAUAAAAUCUCCUUAAAAUAUCUAAUUAUCUGAAGACAUGUUGUUCCAGUUUUUUCAGAGCACAGGGUACCUCACUCCCGAUCCCCACCCUGAGUUCCACUCGGGGUGUUGCACGUCAGCAGCUCCAGUGGGUCACUAUUUAAUCCAUAUAGAGGCUGAUAGAAAGUGCCAAAUUCCAAUUCACAACAGUGUUGACUGGAAAAAAAAAAAAA